rfam:Corynebacterium sp. KPL1989 genomic scaffold addTB-supercont1.1, whole genome shotgun sequence.
GGGGUUGAUUUGGUUUCGACUUCGUCUGUUGAGCCAGGGGAAGCGUGCCGGUGUAAGGUAACGGCCACCGUAAGCGGCGUUACAAAUACAAUAAACGCAGAGAAGACCUCUCAGCGUGACUACGCCCUCGCUGCCUAAUUAAGCUGCAGCGACCGCGUGUCUGUCAGCCCAAGUUAUGCUCUUGGCUUGGAAUCUGGCAUCGACUAAAGAGCUUGCCUUCUGGCUGAGUCAUCAGGGCCAGUAGGGACACUCACUGAUGGCUGGGCCCAUCUUCCGAGACGUGUUCGUGCGAGUCGGAGGGCCGAGUAAGGAUCAUGCGCGAACUGCGCACGGAGAAGCCCUGGCGAAACAACGAAGGACCCGGGUUCAAGUCCCGGCAGCUCCACAG